UUGAUUCUCUCUGAGGUGAAAUCCUAGACAAUACUUAGUUAAGGAGAUGAUUUAGGCCAUCUUUGGACCGCUUGAGCUUGAAAAAAGCCAACCUUGUUAAAUUUUUAUCCCUAGUAUACCCUGUUGAGCCUAAUUUCCGUUUUCUUUGUUUAACUACAUAAUAAUUGAGCCUAGCCUUAAAAUAAAAUUUUCAAUUUUGC
rnacentral:lncRNA from 1 species